AUGGGCGUAUGGCUAACCGUGUUGCCAUGGCGGCGAGCAGCGGCCGUGUGCAGGGCCGCCGGCGAGCCGCUCGCCGUGGAGGAGGUGGUCGUGGACCCGCCCAAGGCCCACGAGCUCCGCAUCAAGAUCGUCUGCACCUCGCUCUGCCACAGCGACGUCACCUUCUGGCGCAUGAAGGACUUCCCCGGCGUCUUCCCGAGGAUAUUUGGCCACGAAGCGUUCGGGGUGGUGGAGAGCACCGGCGAGCACGUGGAGGGCUUCGCGGCGGGGGACGCGGUGGUGCCGACGUUCCUGGCGCAGUGCAGCGAGUGCGCGGACUGCAGGUCGUCGCGGAGCAACGUGUGCUCCAAGUACCGGUUCGCGGUGCGGCCGGGGAUGCCGCGCGACGACACCACCCGCUUCCGCGACGGCGACGGGAACCCCAUCCACCACCUGUUCGGCGUGUCCAGCUUCAGCGAGUACACCGUGGUGGACGUGACCCAGGUCGUCAAGGUCGACCCCGCCGUGCCGCCGGCCACCGCCUGCCUCCUCAGCUGCGGCGCCACCACCGGCGUCGGAGCGGCAUGGAAGCUGGCCAAGGUCGAGCCUGGAUCUUCAGUCGCUAUCUUCGGCCUCGGCGCCGUCGGAUUGGCGGUGGCUGAAGGCGCCAGGAUAUGCGGGGCGUCGAAGAUCAUCGGCGUGGACUUGAACCCCGAUAAAGAAGAGCUCGGCAAGAAGUUUGGCGUGACACAUUUCAUCAAUCCAAAAGAACUUGGGGAGAAAACUGUGAGCCAGGUGAUCAUCGAGAUGACCGACGGCGGCGCCGACUACUGCUUCGAGUGCAUCGGGCUGGCGGCGCUGAUGAACGACGCCUUCCAGAGCUCCCGGGCGGGAUGGGGCAAGACGAUCAUCCUCGGGGUGGAGAUGCACGGCGCCCCUCUCACCAUAUCUUCGCUGGAGAUCCUUCACGGGAAAUGCGUAAUGGGAUCGCAAUUCGGAGGCGUGAAGCCCAAGCAGGACAUUCCGAUCCUCGCCGACAAGUACCUGAACAAGGAGCUGGAGCUGGAUAAGUUCAUAACCCACGAGGUUGGCCUCAAGGACAUCAACACGGCGUUCGACCUGCUGCUGCAGGGGAAGAGCCUCAGGUGCACCAUAUGGAUGGACAAGUGA
rnacentral:rRNA from 1 species